UUGAUUUCAAUUUUGUAAAGUACUUGAAAUUACAAAGGAUCUUGUUUUUGCCUUGUGGUGUUACAGAUGUCUUUUAUACAAAUCAUGAUUGACAAGAAUGUAGAUGUUUUGGGAGACGAUGACAGUACAAUUUGUAAGGAUAUUCAAAAGAGAUCUGAUGACCUUAAGAUGUCACUAAAUACUGCUGGAUGUGACAAUGGAAAAACUUCAACAUAUAAUGUUCCACAGAGGAACUAUUUGUUACAAAUAGUUUCACUCAUUAUACUUACUUUUAUGUUGUGUAUCGUAUAUAUUUAUCUAUUAUAAUGAAUUUUAAUAAAGUGUAUUAUUGCUUUGACUCCAA